rnacentral:rRNA from 1 species
UGGGGAAUAUUGGACAAUGGGCGAAAGCCUGAUCCAGCCAUGCCGCGUGUGUGAAGAAGGUCUUCGGAUUGUAAAGCACUUUAAGUUGGGAGGAAGGGCAUUAACCUAAUACGUUAGUGUUUUGACGUUACCGACAGAAUAAGCACCGGCUAACUCUGUGCCAGCAGCCGCGGUAAUACAGAGGGUGCAAGCGUUAAUCGGAAUUACUGGGCGUAAAGCGCGCGUAGGUGGUUUGUUAAGUUGGAUGUGAAAUCCCCGGGCUCAACCUGGGAACUGCAUUCAAACUGACUGACUAGAGUAUGGUAGAGGGUGGUGGAAUUUCCUGUGUAGCGGUGAAAUGCGUAGAUAUAGGAAGGAACACCAGUGGCGAAGGCGACCACCUGGACUAAUACUGACACUGAGGUGCGAAAGCGUGGGGAGCAAACA